AUUGAACGCUGGCGGCAGGCCCAACACAUGCAAGUCGAGCGGAUGAAGGGAGCUUGCUCCUGGAUUCAGCGGCGGACGGGUGAGUAAUGCCUAGGAAUCUGCCUGGUAGUGGGGGAUAACGUCCGGAAACGGGCGCUAAUACCGCAUACGUCCUGAGGGAGAAAGUGGGGGAUCUUCGGACCUCACGCUACCAGAUGAGCCUAGGUCGGAUUAGCUAGUUGGUGGGGUAAAGGCCUACCAAGGCGACGAUCCGUAACUGGUCUGAGAGGAUGAUCAGUCACACUGGAACUGAGACACGGUCCAGACUCCUACGGGAGGCAGCAGUGGGGAAUAUUGGACAAUGGGCGAAAGCCUGAUCCAGCCAUGCCGCGUGUGUGAAGAAGGUCUUCGGAUUGUAAAGCACUUUAAGUUGGGAGGAAGGGCAGUAAGUUAAUACCUUGCUGUUUUGACGUUACCAACAGAAUAAGCACCGGCUAACUUCGUG
rnacentral:rRNA from 1 species